UACGUAGGGUGCGAGCGUUAAUCGGAAUUACUGGGCGUAAAGCGUGCGCAGGCGGUAAGUUAAGUCUGAUGUGAAAGCCCCGGGCUCAACCUGGGAAUUGCAUUCGAGACUGAAUAGCUAGGGUACGGUAGAGGGAAGCGGAAUUUCCGGUGUAGCGGUGAAAUGCGUAGAUAUCGGAAGGAACAUCAGUGGCGAAAGCGGCUUCCUGGACCAGUACCGACGUUCAGGCACGAAAGCGUGGGGAGCAAACAGG
rnacentral:rRNA from 1 species